UACGAAGGGGGCUAGCGUUGUUCGGAAUUACUGGGCGUAAAGCGCGCGUAGGCGGUUUUUCAAGUCGGUGGUGAAAGCCCGGAGCUCAACUCCGGAACUGCCAUUGAAACUGUAAAACUUGAGGACGAGAGAGGUGAGUGGAAUUCCCAGUGUAGAGGUGAAAUUCGUAGAUAUUGGGAAGAACACCGGUGGCGAAGGCGGCGCACUGGGUCGUAACUGACGCUCAGGCGCGACAGCGUGGGGAGCAAACAGG
rnacentral:rRNA from 1 species